rnacentral:pre_miRNA from 12 species
UGUCCUGUGCAGGUGGGGAUUAGUAGCAAUGCUGUUCUCCACGAGGUAUUGCACUUGUCCCGGCCUGUAAAGGAACG